rnacentral:rRNA from 1 species
GAAUCCCGUCUUUGACAUGGACUGCCAGUGUGUUGUGGUGUGCUCUCAAAGAGUCGAGUUGUUUGGGAAUGCAGCUCUAAAUGGGUGGUAAACUCCAUCUAAAGCUAAAUAUUGGCGAGAGACCGAUAGCGAACAAGUACCGUGAGGGAAAGAUGAAAAGGACUUUGGAAAGAGAGUUAAACAGUAUGUGAAAUUGUUGAAAGGGAAACGCUUGAAGUCAGUUGUGUCGGCUAGGGAUCAACCUAGCUGUUUUUUGCUGGGUGAAUUUCCUAGUCUGACAGGCCAACAUCAGUCUUGACUGCUGGAAAAGAGCAGGGGGAAUGUGGCACCUUUGGGUGUGUUAUAGCCUUUUGUCAUAUGUGGCAGUCGGGACUGAGGGAUGCAGCGUGCCGCGAGGCUGGGUUUCGACCACGUUCACGCUUAGGAUGUUGGCUUUUAAUGGCUUCAAUCGACCCGUCUUGAAACACGGACCAAGGAGUCUAACAUGCCUGCGAGUGUUUGGGUGGAAAACCCUUGCGCGCAAUGAAAGUGAAAGUUGAGAUCCCUGUCAUGGGGAGCAUCGACGCCCGGACUUGAGCUUUUAGCGACGGAUCCGCGGUAGAGCAUGCAUGUUGGGACCCGAAAGAUGGUGAACUAUGCCUGAAUAGGGCAAAGCCAGAGGAAACUCUGGUGGAGGCUCGUAGCGAUUCUGACGUGCAAAUCGAUCGUCAAAUUUGGGUAUAGGGGCGAAAGACUAAUCGAACUAUCUAGUAGCUGGUUCCUGCC